rnacentral:lncRNA from 1 species
UGUUCUGUCUUGUUUUGAGGAUCUUGAUGUUUGGGUCGACUCAUGCUUUCCUUGGGUCGACCCAACUCACUGUUCAUCUGUGCCAUUUUUGCAGAAGUGUGCCAAAUGAUUUCUUGAUGUGCCGGGGUCGACCCAAUCAUCCUUUGGGUCGACUCAAUCCACACUUUGCUGCAUCUCAAGGUUAGAUUCUUUCAAAUAAACAAUGAAAUAUAUCUAUAUCACUUUAUACAAAUAUCCUGAGAAUAAUAGUCUUAUAAAUGAAGUAUCAAUUUAACUUAUAACAUACUCUAGAUAAUUGCUUGUUAAUCAUCAAAAUAACACUAUCAUCC